UGGGGAAUUUUGGACAAUGGGCGCAAGCCUGAUCCAGCAAUGCCGCGUGCAGGAUGAAGGCCUUCGGGUUGUAAACUGCUUUUGUACGGAACGAAACGGCUCUGGUUAAUACCUGGACUAAUGACGGUACCGUAAGAAUAAGCACCGGCUAACUACGUGCCAGCAGCCGCGGUAAUACGUAGGGUGCGAGCGUUAAUCGGAAUUACUGGGCGUAAAGCGUGCGCAGGCGGUGAUGUAAGACAGAUGUGAAAUCCCCGGGCUCAACCUGGGACCUGCAUUUGUGACUGUAUAGCUAGAGUACGGUAGAGGGGGAUGGAAUUCCGCGUGUAGCAGUGAAAUGCGUAGAUAUGCGGAGGAACACCGAUGGCGAAGGCAAUCCCCUGGGCCUGUACUGACGCUCAUGCACGAAAGCGUGGGGAGCAAACA
rnacentral:rRNA from 1 species